UGUUGCCAUGGGGACGAGCGGCUCCGGCUGAAGGUUUCAGUGCUUGGAAACCGCGCCUCCGCGGAGGUAGCCGUUCCCUGACCUAGCCAUGGCACAGAACACUGAAAACCAGGACCCUGUCGGAUCCAUCUUAAUCCAGAUCCAUGAAGACCUUUAUCAGUUAAAGGAGAAAUUAACAAAAUUCUCACCUGAGGAAAAAGGAGAGACUCUAGACAUUCAGAGUCUUGAAACAGCAAUCAAAAGGACUGAAGUGGGGUUAAGAAUUCACAUCGAGAAGUAUUUAAAUGUUGUAAACCAGAAUGUAUUAACGACUUCUGUUAAUGAUGAGAGCUUAUAUACUCCCCAGGCUUCCAAAUGGUUACUUCCAACUGUAAUUGAUCAGAAAUCAUUUAUUUUCCCUCAGGAAUCUGAGGGUACAUUUUGGCAACCCCAAAGACAGCACAGUUCAUCUCUGCCUGACUUUCCAAGAGCAAAGCGAAAGAUAGGGUUGAAUGUAAAAAUCUUGCAGGAUCCUGAAAACAUCCACCACAGAGCUGCUGUAAAUGCGAACUAUGGAAUCAGUUUGCCAUAUAUUAAUCAGAGAAAAGCAUGUGUAAAGGUUUCGAAGUUAAUCAAAGGGUCUAACAUAUCCAACCUCACGGUUCUGCCAUCUUCUCAUCGCACAGAUCCCUAUUUCACUCCUAUACCAGUCUUACAAGCAGAUGCCCACAAAGGGAUUUUAAGUAUGAUAGAACGAGGGCUGAUUCCACCAACAGCAAGGAUUACCUUUCAGAAUCCACCCAUUACACCCAGAACAGCUCCUCUGCAUAGUUUUGAUGAAGCACGUAAGAUUCCAACUGUAGCCACUUUCACUAUACCUCGGGAACCACCUCCAUCUCCAGCAGAAGUGAAGUUCUUUCCCAAGAAACAAAGAUCAAAGGGGAAAAGCAGAAGGUUAAGAGGACAUCAUGAUAGGAAGGCCAUGAAAGUCAAAACACCUUUGAGAGCCCUGAAAUCACUGUGGGAUUAUGACUUUUUAAUUUAUGAUGGUGUCAUAGACAAUACAGCCCCAGACUUCUUAGCAUUCAAGGAACAUUUUAGCUUAGCUUGGGGAGGUAUUUUUUCUCUCUUGGAACACGUCGAGAAGUUUCUCAGGAACUAUGCUAUACCAGAAGUCAAAAUAAAAGGGAAUAAUUUGGUGGCCCUCCUUCCAGAGUUUGAGCUGACGAAUAAACUUAGCAGAUAUGACCUUCUCUCAGUGUUAGAGGACCCAGCUCAUGUCCAAAUGCUGAUAAAUCUUCCAGGGCAAAGGUACAAGGGCCAAGAUGGAAAUUCGGAGGCCGCCAUGAAGAUCCAAGCCACAUGGAAAUGCUACAAAGCAAGAAAAUUCUUCCUCUUUUAUCGCCAGCAGAAGUGGGCAUCAGGUGUGAUUGCCAUUGCUUGGCUGUUAUAUUGCCAUAAGACUCGACUAAAGAAGAUACUAAAGGAAUCACGUCAGAGACACCUGGAGAAUUUUCGCAUUCGAGCCAAGCAUCUGGCAGCCAACUGGAAUCGCAUCAGGACCUCCAGGAGGACUAUUAUCCAUAUCCCAUCAUUAGGGUAUUCCCAGCCUGUGAGAGAACAUAUUGCCGAUUUCAACACACAGCAGAACAUGCAGCUGGGGAGGCUGUGUGACAUCUUAGAUGCCAAUGUGAAUGUCAUCUACAUCUGCUCCCAUCAUAUGAAUGACGAGUUAGUGCUGUAUUACAAAAAAAUCCUAAGUCUACAUGCAGCCGUCAAAUCUGGGAACCUUGAGGACAGAAGUGACCUGCAGGACAGGUUCAAAAUUAUCACACCUGAAGCUGUAAACAUCUUCCCUAAGCAUCAUAUGUGCCUGGCCACUCACCUGAUGUACAGUCCCAAGGCAAUCAAAAGAAUAAAAAAUCUCAUCCGAGGAACAGAGGCCUACAUUGUCAGCGGGCUCCUCCACAGAGAUGAUUUAGCUGUGGCCGAUAUGUUAGACAUACCCAUCCUGGGCUCUGAGCCUGAACUAGCUCAUCUUUAUAGUACCAAAUCUGGAGGCAAACGUGUCUUUGACAGUGCCAAUGUGGCAGUUCCUCCUGGAAUAUAUGACAUUUAUAGUCAGCAACAGAUGAUAGAGCAGCUGAGUCAGCUGAUAACUGAUCACCUGCAAAUACAGCGCUGGCUCUUUAAAAUGGACUCUGAGUUCCGAGGAAAUGGGACUGCAUUUUGUGAUAUUCCUUCCUACCUAAAGUGCUACAAAUGGGUGCUAAAGGAGAGUAGCAGAUAUGGCCUUGAAGACUGGAGAAAGAAAUGGGCACAAGAGCCAGCUUUGGUGAAGAUCUCCGAGGAGCUGGCGGGCAUUUUAGCACAGCACGCACAGCCAGUCAAUGAGAAACGGUUCCCGACGUGGAGGAAAUUCCUCCAAACAUUUCUCAGUCAAGGGGGUGUGAUCGAAGCAUUCCCACCUGCAGACAAUGUCACCAACCUGACAGUGGACAUGCUGAUAGAGCCCAACGGGAAAAUCAGCGUGCUGUCGACAGGGGACCAGCUUCAUGCUGAAAGCCCCUUCAUCUCCUCUGGUACCACCGUGCCUCAGACCUCAGUGGAUCCCCAAGUUCUCACUUAUUUGUGCCUCCAAAUUGGAAAAGCCUGCAGAAUGAGAGAUGUGGUUGGUUACUUUUCGAUAGAUCUGGUGACUUUUAUAGAUCCAAGCACCUUGGAACAACAGGUGUGGGCAACCGGCCUUAACCUCGCAUAUAGUGACCAGCUGGCCCUGACUCAACUCACCUUAUACCUGACAAACGGCCAUCUGGAUUGCAGUUUGAGCACCCUGGAAGUGCCCCGCUUUGUUCCAAAGGAAAGGAAGAAAACCAAAUGCAUGAGUGCGCUGUCAAUGCCGACGCUGGCAACCAGUCGCUAUGCAGUGAUGACCACCCAGCUAAGACACAGCAAUCUCUCACUGGUUUUCCACUAUGUUUUUCUCCAGAUCUGUAGGGCCCAUGGCAUUGGCUAUGAUCUUGAGGAAAGGCAAGGAACUGUUUUUAUAUUAUAUGAGCACCUGAAGAGACACAAGUUGGGAAUGUUAACAAUCGGCGAGGAUCUCCAGGGGGUCCUCAUGACCUUUGCUCGCAAUCUCUUCAUCAUCCAUCAAGAAAUAUCAGCACCUAAUAUGCAAGGCGAGACCAAUUUUAAGACCACCAUUGCUGAUAUUGAAACUAUUCUAAGAGUAACAAAGGAAAACAAAAUGAGAUUUGAAGAGGAGCAACAGUCCAAAGAUGAUAAAAACCUCUCUAAACCCAAGAAAUGAUCCUGGAAUACAGUACAUAACAAUUUGGAUCCCAGUCUGGAAUAAAAAGGAUCUCUCUAAUCCAUUCGAGGGGCCCAUUGUUCAGACACUUGACAGAUAGGAAGUCCUACAUGCCCAUUAGAGCCGCGCCUCGACUGAAGCCAGAGCAACAUAAGGUCCAAGAGACUCAUUAGUUCACUGGCACAAUCGUGUCCUGAGAGUAAAUGAAACCCUCUGUCUCCUUAUGGCUCUCAUCUGCUCUGGACUUUAAAAGAAAACUGUCUCCGUUUUGUUCGGCACAGUAGUGGAUCAUUCACAUGGUGAGAGCCCCUGCUUAACAGUACAAAACUGUUAAAUCUAUCGGGAAGUUUUGCAUGUGAAUUUUGAUUAGCACUCCCGAAGCUCAAGCUGCUGGCAAUAGCGAAACGAGUUCGCCAUCCUA